rnacentral:rRNA from 1 species
GCAAGUCGAACGAUGAACCACUUCGGUGGGGAUUAGUGGCGAACGGGUGAGUAACACGUGGGCAAUCUGCCCUUCACUCUGGGACAAGCCCUGGAAACGGGGUCUAAUACCGGAUAACACUNUCACGGGCAUCUGUGAGGGUUAAAAGCUCCGGCGGUGAAGGAUGAGCCCGCGGCCUAUCAGCUUGUUGGUGAGGUAAUGGCUCACCAAGGCGACGACGGGUAGCCGGCCUGAGAGGGCGACCGGCCACACUGGGACUGAGACACGGCCCAGACUCCUACGGGAGGCAGCAGUGGGGAAUAUUGCACAAUGGGCGAAAGCCUGAUGCAGCGACGCCGCGUGAGGGAUGACGGCCUUCGGGUUGUAAACCUCUUUCAGCAGGGAAGAAGCGAAAGUGACGGUACCUGCAGAAGAAGCGCCGGCUAACUACGUGCCAGCAGCCGCGGUAAUACGUAGGGCGCAAGCGUUGUCCGGAAUUAUUGGGCGUAAAGAGCUCGUAGGCGGCUUGUCACGUCGAUUGUGAAAGCCCGAGGCUUAACCUCGGGUCUGCAGUCGAUACGGGCUAGCUAGAGUGUGGUAGGGGAGAUCGGAAUUCCUGGUGUAGCGGUGAAAUGCGCAGAUAUCAGGAGGAACACCGGUGGCGAAGGCGGAUCUCUGGGCCAUUACUGACGCUGAGGAGCGAAAGCGUGGGGAGCGAACAGGAUUAGAUACCCUGGUAGUCCACGCCGUAAACGGUGGGAACUAGGUGUUGGCGACAUUCCACGUCGUCGGUGCCGCAGCUAACGCAUUAAGUUCCCCGCCUGGGGAGUACGGCCGCAAGGCUAAACUCAAAGGAAUUGACGGGGGCCCGCACAAGCGGCGGAGCAUGUGGCUUAAUUCGACGCAACGCGA